rnacentral:rRNA from 1 species
UACAGAGGUGGCAAGCGUUGUUCGGAAUUACUGGGCGUAAAGGGCGCGUAGGCGGCCUACUAAGUCAGACGUGAAAUCCCCAGGCUUAACUUGGGAACUGCGUCUGAUACUGGGAGGCUUGAGUGCGGGAGAGGGAUGUGGAAUUCCAGGUGUAGCGGUGAAAUGCGUAGAUAUCUGGAGGAAUACCGGUGGCGAAGGCGGCAUCCUGGACCAUAACUGACGCUGAGGCGCGAAAGCUAGGGGAGCAAACGGG